GCAGAAGCUUCACCACUUCAAGAAUAGAAAAAAUCCGCUGCUAAGAACGCAAUAGACGACAUUACAACUUGUCUUCGAUCAAUUAGUGGGCUAUGCUCCAAACUUUCACCUCCCUCUUCAAUAAGGCAAAAGAGAAUUAGCAAUCAAUCAGAAGUAGAAAAAAAGAAAACAAAACUCCCAAUAGAAAUCAAUAAAGUAAACUUAUAGAAGAUUGAAGAAGACGAAAAAAAUAUUUUAAAAAAAUAAAAAGAAUUAACGUACCACUAUAUCACUUUUUGGCAAAUUCACAGGCUUGAGAUUAAUGCUGAAAUACUUGUAAUUCAGGUUAUGGCAUGAAUUUCAUUUGGU
rnacentral:lncRNA from 1 species